UUAAGCGACUAAGCGUACACGGUGGAUGCCCUGGCAGUCAGAGGCGAUGAAGGGCGUGCUAAUCUGCGAUAAGCGCCGGUAAGGUGAUAUGAACCGUUAUAACCGGCGAUACCCGAAUGGGGAAACCCAGUGUGACUCGUCACACUAUCAUUAACUGAAUCCAUAGGUUAAUGAGGCGAACCGGGGGAACUGAAACAUCUAAGUACCCCGAGGAAAAGAAAUCAACCGAGAUUCCCCCAGUAGCGGCGAGCGAACGGGGAGGAGCCCAGAGCCUGAAUCAGCAUGUGUGUUAGUGGAAGCGUCUGGAAAGGCGCGCGAUACAGGGUGACAGCCCCGUACACAAAAGCGCAUGUGCUGUGAGCUCGAUGAGUAGGGCGGGACACGUGGUAUCCUGUCUGAAUAUGGGGGGGACCAUCCUCCAAGGCUAAAUACUCCUGACUGACCGAUAGUGAACCAGUACCGUGAGGGAAAGGCGAAAAGAACCCCGGCGAGGGGAGUGAAAAAGAACCUGAAACCGUGUACGUACAAGCAGUGGGAGCACAGGUUUACCUGUGUGACUGCGUACCUUUUGUAUAAUGGGUCAGCGACUUAUAUUCUGUAGCAAGGUUAACCGAAUAGGGGAGCCGGAGGGAAACCGAGUCUUAAUUGGGCGUUAAGUUGCAGGGUAUAGACCCGAAACCCGGUGAUCUAGCCAUGGGCAGGUUGAAGGUUGGGUAACACUAACUGGAGGACCGAACCGACUAAUGUUGAAAAAUUAGCGGAUGACCUGUGGCUGGGGGUGAAAGGCCAAUCAAACCGGGAGAUAGCUGGUUCUCCCCGAAAGCUAUUUAGGUAGCGCCUCGUGAAUUCAUCUCCGGGGGUAGAGCACUGUUUCGGCUAGGGGGCCAUCCCGGCUUACCAACCCGAUGCAAACUGCGAAUACCGGAGAAUGUUAUCACGGGAGACACACGGCGGGUGCUAACGUCCGUCGUGAAGAGGGAAACAACCCAGACCGCCAGCUAAGGUCCCAAAGUCAUGGUUAAGUGGGAAACGAUGUGGGAAGGCCCAGACAGCCAGGAUGUUGGCUUAGAAGCAGCCAUCAUUUAAAGAAAGCGUAAUAGCUCACUGGUCGAGUCGGCCUGCGCGGAAGAUGUAACGGGCUAAACCAUGCACCGAAGCUGCGGCAGCGAACGUAUCACUUAAAGCGAUUCAGCGGGUUACGAUUGACGGAGCGAAGCGACGUCAAAGCGUAUACAAAGUCGAGUCGGUUUAAGGAUACGUUCGUUGGGUAGGGGAGCGUUCUGUAAGCCUGUGAAGGUGGCCUGUGAGGGUUGCUGGAGGUAUCAGAAGUGCGAAUGCUGACAUAAGUAACGAUAAAGCGGGUGAAAAGCCCGCUCGCCGGAAGACCAAGGGUUCCUGUCCAACGUUAAUCGGGGCAGGGUGAGUCGACCCCUAAGGCGAGGCCGAAAGGCGUAGUCGAUGGGAAACGGGUUAAUAUUCCCGUACUUGGUGUUACUGCGAAGGGGGGACGGAGAAGGCUAUGUUGGCCGGGCGACGGUUGUCCCGGUUUAAGCGUGUAGGUGUGUGUUCCAGGUAAAUCCGGUUCACUUUAACACUGAGGCGUGAUGACGAGGCACUACGGUGCUGAAGCAACAAAUGCCCUGCUUCCAGGAAAAGCCUCUAAGCAUCAGGUAACAUCAAAUCGUACCCCAAACCGACACAGGUGGUCAGGUAGAGAAUACCAAGGCGCUUGAGAGAACUCGGGUGAAGGAACUAGGCAAAAUGGUGCCGUAACUUCGGGAGAAGGCACGCUGACACGUAGGUGAAGUGAUUUACUCAUGGAGCUGAAGUCAGUCGAAGAUACCAGCUGGCUGCAACUGUUUAUUAAAAACACAGCACUGUGCAAACACGAAAGUGGACGUAUACGGUGUGACGCCUGCCCCGGUGCCGGAAGGUUAAUUGAUGGGGUCAGCGCAAGCGAAGCUCCUGAUCGAAGCCCCGGUAAACGGCGGCCGUAACUAUAACGGUCCUAAGGUAGCGAAAUUCCUUGUCGGGUAAGUUCCGACCUGCACGAAUGGCGUAAUGAUGGCCAGGCUGUCUCCACCCGAGACUCAGUGAAAUUGAAUUCGCUGUGAAGAUGCAGUGUACCCGCGGCAAGACGGAAAGACCCCGUGAACCUUUACUAUAGCUUGACACUGAACAUUGAGCCUUGAUGUGUAGGAUAGGUGGGAGGCUUUGAAGUGUGGACGCCAGUCUGCAUGGAGCCGACCUUGAAAUACCACCCUUUAAUGUUUGAUGUUCUAACGUGGACCCGUGAUCCGGGUUGCGGACAGUGUCUGGUGGGUAGUUUGACUGGGCGGUCUCCUCCUAAAGAGUAACGGAGGAGCACGAAGGUUGGCUAAUCCUGGUCGGACAUCAGGAGGUUAGUGCAAUGGCAUAAGCCAGCUUGACUGCGAGCGUGACGGCGCGAGCAGGUGCGAAAGCAGGUCAUAGUGAUCCGGUGGUUCUGAAUGGAAGGGCCAUCGCUCAACGGAUAAAAGGUACUCCGGGGAUAACAGGCUGAUACCGCCCAAGAGUUCAUAUCGACGGCGGUGUUUGGCACCUCGAUGUCGGCUCAUCACAUCCUGGGGCUGAAGUAGGUCCCAAGGGUAUGGCUGUUCGCCAUUUAAAGUGGUACGCGAGCUGGGUUUAGAACGUCGUGAGACAGUUCGGUCCCUAUCUGCCGUGGGCGCUGGAGAACUGAGGGGGGCUGCUCCUAGUACGAGAGGACCGGAGUGGACGCAUCACUGGUGUUCGGGUUGUCAUGCCAAUGGCACUGCCCGGUAGCUAAAUGCGGAAGAGAUAAGUGCUGAAAGCAUCUAAGCACGAAACUUGCCCCGAGAUGAGUUCUCCCUGAGACUUUAGGUCUCCUGAAGGAACGUUGAAGACGACGACGUUGAUAGGCCGGGUGUGUAAGCGCAGCGAUGCGUUGAGCUAACCGGUACUAAUGAACCGUGAGGCUUAACCUU
rnacentral:rRNA from 1 species